rnacentral:rRNA from 1 species
UACAGAGGGUGCAAGCGUUAAUCGGAAUUACUGGGCGUAAAGUGUGCGUAGACGGUUAUGUAAGUCGGGUGUGAAAGCCCCGGGCUCAACCUGGGAAUGCCAUUCGAGACUGCAUAGCUAGGGUGCGGAAGAGGGAAGCGGAAUUUCCGGUGUAGCGGUGAAAUGCGUAGAUAUCGGAGGGAACACCAGUGGCGAAAGCGGGUCUCUGGACAGUUCCUGACGCUGAGGCACGAAGGCCAGGGGAGCAAACGGG